AGGGGUCUCAGGUGAAUGGCAAAGCAUCCGCUUUGCAAGCAGAAGGUUGUGAGUUCAAUCCCCAGCAUCUCCUG